rnacentral:misc_RNA from 1 species
GGCGAAGUUGGCGGUAAGAGGCCCUUACGGGGAGGGAGCUGCCGACCUAGCGGCUGGGGCAGACGCUGUCGGGAGGGGUUGGCGCGCUGCAGGUCACGUGACAUCGGGUAAGUCACGUGGGAUCACAGAAGGAAGACAUAGGGUAGCUCCGAUGUUCUGCUAUGUAGAGGUCACGUGACAUUGGGUAAGUCACGUGGGAUCACAGAAGGAAGACAUAGGGUAGCUCCGAUGUUCUGCUAUGUAGAGGUCACGUGACAUUGGGUAAGUCACGUGGGUAUCUAGAGGUCACGUGACAUUGGGCAAGUCACGUGGGAUUACAGAAGGAAGACAUAGGGUAGCUCUGAUGUUCUCUUAUCUAGAGGUCACGUGAGAAUAAAGGUAUAGGGUAGGCUCUCUGUCCUCUAUUGAUAAGGUAUUAUAGAAGUUGAAUAACCCAAUGUCUUCCGUACUAAAACCGACUUAGAUACGAAAUGGUGG